rnacentral:rRNA from 1 species
UCGACGAUGAAGCCCUUCGGGGUGGAUUAAUGGCGAACGGGUGAGUAACACGUGGGCAAUCUGCCCUUCACUCUGGGACAAGCCCUGGAAACGGGGUCUAAUACCGGAUAACACUCCUCAGGGCAUCUUGAGGGGUUAAAAGCUCCGGCGGUGAAGGAUGAGCCCGCGGCCUAUCAGCUUGUUGGUGGGGUAAUGGCCUACCAAGGCGACGACGGGUAGCCGGCCUGAGAGGGCGACCGGCCACACUGGGACUGAGACACGGCCCAGACUCCUACGGGAGGCAGCAGUGGGGAAUAUUGCACAAUGGGCGAAAGCCUGAUGCAGCGACGCCGCGUGAGGGAUGACGGCCUUCGGGUUGUAAACCUCUUUCAGCAGGGAAGAAGCGMAAGUGACGGUACCUGCAGAAGAAGCGCCGGCUAACUACGUGCCAGCAGCCGCGGUAAUACGUAGGGCGCAAGCGUUGUCCGGAAUUAUUGGGCGUAAAGAGCUCGUAGGCGGCUUGUCACGUCGGAUGUGAAAGCCCGGGGCUUAACCCCGGGUCUGCAUUCGAUACGGGCUAGCUAGAGUGUGGUAGGGGAGAUCGGAAUUCCUGGUGUAGCGGUGAAAUGCGCAGAUAUCAGGAGGAACACCGGUGGCGAAGGCGGAUCUCUGGGCCAUUACUGACGCUGAGGAGCGAAAGCGUGGGGAGCGAACAGGAUUAGAUACCCUGGUAGUCCACGCCGUAAACGUUGGGAACUAGGUGUUGGCGACAUUCCACGUCGUCGGUGCCGCAGCUAACGCAUUAAGUUCCCCGCCUGGGGAGUACGGCCGCAAGGCUAAAACUCAAAGGAA